UUUUUAUAUACUUUUUUUUUUUUUUUUUAUUUCUUAAUUUAUUCAUAUUUUUAUUGCAAAGUUGUGAUUUUACUUUCUCUUCUUGUUAUUUUUGGACUAAUUCUAUUUUGUUGUCAUUUUUUUUUUUUGGCUGGCACAGAUAAUUGUUUAUUAAAUCAUUUAAAUCUGAAACUGUUUACUUUUUAGGUCCCCACCAAACAUACAUAUAUAUACAUUUAUUAUAAAAAGACGUUACUGUUUUAGAAUUGUUAAUUGUUAUCGACAAGAAAACCAUGAAAUGUGAUUAAAGAGAAAUCCAACAUGUAGACAUUUCUCAUAUUAUUGUCAAUAUUCUGAGACAGCUAAUGAUAAGUUGCUUUGAGGCUCUAGUUUGUACUACUUUCUGUGUUGGUAACCUCAUAGCCUCAUUUGUGAUAAUGUUCAUAGUUGAUGGAAUAAAUACAGUUGCUUAUUUUAUUGUUUAUUUUGUUUGUUAAACUCUUCUUCAGGAAGAAAUUAUUUUAAUACAUAUUUGCUAGAAUUUUUAUGUACAUCAAUUCCUACUAUUAAUUUACACCUUUGUCAUAGUCAAAAAUGAAUGAU